rnacentral:sRNA from 1 species
UGUUUCAGACAUUUCAUCGAACAUCUUUUGGGCGCGGAAAUGUUUGGGCUCAAAUUCCAGUUGAUCAGAAAGCAAUAGGCAUUAAGAACAACUAAUCCAGAAGGGAUCUAUAAAUCAAAGUCAACCACCUAGCAUACUGAGAAUUCUAAACUACACUAACCCAUCCUCAGAAACUUAUUCACUACUUAGACAUCAUUGCAGAGAACAUAAACGAUGAAUAGAAUGAAAACAUAAUAGCAACAUA